AUGUCCGGGGCCCCACGCUCCAACCUUGGACUUGUUCCCAGGGACAUGAAUGGUAGCCUUCCAGUUAGUACUACAAAUUCCUCUGGGCCAAGCAUUGGUGUUAGCUCUUUGGUGACCGAUGGCAACUCAUCACUUUCUGGAGGUGCCCAGUUUCAGCAAAGUACGAGCAUGAAUGCUGAUUCAUUCAUGCGCCUUCCUGCCUCUCCGAUGUCGUUUUCGUCCAAUAACAUUUCUGGCUCUUCAGUCAUUGAUGGCUCCAUCAUGCAGCAAAGUCCACCCCAAGAGCAGAUGCAGAAGCGGAGAGCAUGUAGUGUAACAUCACAACCUGUGAUUGAUGCUGCCGCCGCAUUUCAUGCUCAAAAGAAGCCAAGAGUUGAUAUUCGGCAAGAUGAUAUCUUGCAACAACAGUUGAUUCAACAGCUGCUCCAAGGUCAGAGUUCUCUUCAUCUCCAGGGCCAACAUAACCCACAGCUUCAAGCCUUGAUCCGGCAGCACAAACUGGCACAAAUUCAGCAACAACAGCAGCAUCAGUUAUCGCAACAAUUUCCUCAGCAUCAACAUUCUCAAGUUGGCAUACCUCGGCAGCCACAGUUGAGGCCGCCGCCAGCACAGCCUGGAAUUGAGCUAGCUGGACCUGUUAGGACUCCCGUUGAGAGUGGGCUUUGUUCUCGAAGGUUAAUGCAAUAUUUGUAUCACAAGCGUUACCGGCCAGAUAAUAAUCCCAUAACAUACUGGAGGAAGCUCAUUGAUGAAUAUUUUGCACCACGAUCAAGAGAGAGAUGGUGUGUGUCAUCAUAUGAAAAACCAGGGAAUACCUCAGCUGCUAUUCCACAGACAUCCCCGGGUACAUGGCGUUGUGAUAUUUGUAAUACACAUUCGGGGAAAGGAUAUGAGGCUACCUCUGAAAUACUUCCUAGACUCUGUCAAAUUAGAUUUGACCACGGUGUUAAGGAUGAAUAUCUAUUCCUUGACAUGCCGAACGAGUUCCGGUUGCCCAACGGACUGCUGCUCCUGGAGCAUACUAAAGUUGUUCAGAAGAGCAUCUACGAUCACCAACAUGUCACACAUGAGGGACAACUGAGAAUAAUAUUCACUCCAGAACUAAAGAUUAUGUCCUGGGAGUUUUGUUCACGGAAACACGACGAGUAUGUCACUCGCAAGUUUUUAACAGAGCAGGUUACACAUAUGCUGCGUGCUACCCAGAGUUAUCAAGCUACUGUCACUAAAAAUGGACCUGCUGGCCUAUCGAACGAUGAGGCACAAAAGGCUUGCAACGAGUUUGCAUCAGCAUCACGUCAACUAGCGAAAAAUAUUGAUCACCACAGCCUAAAUGAACAUGGUCUUUCUAAAAGAUAUGUUCGCUGUUUGCAGAUAUCAGAGGUGGUGAAUCACAUGAAGGAUCUAAUUGAGUUCAGCCACAAGAACAAGCUCGGCCCUAUAGAGGGCCUGAAGAACUAUCCCAAGCAAACUGCUGGACCAAAGCUCACGGUGCAGAAUUUGCAUGACUCAAAGGCAGUCAAAACAGAAAUGAGCCCCCAUGUGAAUAACGAGGUUCCAGGUGUUGGAGCAAUUAGUAAUAAUCCGCAGAAUCCUGCAGCACAAAGCAAUUACCAACAUAUGCUGAGAAGCUCAAGUGCAAAUCAGGGUUUGCUGCAGCAGGAGGCAUCACAGAAUGCUGCGGCAAUGAACAGUUACCAGAAUAUGUUCAGAAGCUCAAGCGCAAAUCAGGGUUUGCUCCAGCAGGAGGCAUCUCAGAAUGCUGCUGCGCUAAAUAAUUACCAGAAUAUGCUUAGAGGCUCGAGCCCAAAUCAAAGUUUGCUUCAGCAGGAGGCAUCGAGUAUCUUCAAAGGUCCUACAGCAGUGCACAGUGGCAUUCAGCUGGAAGCAUCUAGAUCGUUCCGUGCGUCUCAGCUUGGGCAAUUCCAGCAUCCCAUGUCAUUCCAGCAAGGUAUGCCCCAGCACCAGCAUAACAGUUUCCAAGGCCUGGGUGCUAGUCCACAAUUCCAGCAGCAUGUGAUCAAUCAGCUGCUGCAAGAAGCCAAGAAUACCAAUAGUCGCGCUCUUGCUCAUCAUCAUCAUCAGCAGCAGCAGCAGCAACACCAUCAGCAGCAGCAGCAACACCAUCAGCAGCAGCAGCAACAACAGCAACAGCAGCAGCCGCAGCAGCAGCAACAUCAACAGCCGCAGCAGCAGCAACAUCAACAGCCGCAGCAGCAGCAACAUCAACAGCCGCAGCAGCAGCAACAUCAACAGCCGCAGCCGCAGCAGCAGUCUCCUAGCACUCCCAAUGCAAAUGGUGGUCUCACAUCCGGAGCCGCGGUCACCAACAGCGCUGCUAGCGCAGAGCAGGCACAGCACAUGAAUAACGGCACAGCAAAGGGUGCCGCUCCGAUGGGUAUGACGGGGCCUAGUAAUCUGAUCAACAGCGGAGCUGGCAUGGUCCAGCGAAGCAGCAGUUUCAAGUCAGUGAGCAGCAACCCGGCCGCUUCUGGCGGCAAUGCGGCGGCGACCCCAAAGGCGGAGUCUGUGCACGACAUGGACGACCUGGAACAUCUCAUCUCCCACGAACUCGUGGAGAGCGGGCUGUUCAUGGGGGAGCAGCCGGGAGACGGCGGCUUCUCGUGGAACAUCUGA
rnacentral:rRNA from 1 species